CUGCACAAGAGGAAGGCCUUAUGGCAGUUUCUGCAAUGCUGGAAGCUUCUGGUUCAUUCCCACCACAUGCACCGUACGCGUGGCCGCCUCUUCUCACUGCACCUGUAUGCUACAGAAUGUGGCGCAGAGAAUCAUGGACAUCAUGAAACCCUGGACUCAAGAUUAAACACCUGGCCUAGAGCAAACUUGAGAGCUGAAGAGGAUCAAGCAUGGCCUUUUGGGUCACAUCAACAUUCAAGGUGUGGGCCGAGGAAAAGGAGCCUGCCAGGGCGGCUUGUCAGGGAGACGGAGGACAGCCAAGAUGCUCCGAGGACCGAGCCAGGGCGAGUGGGUCCCAAGAGGAACUGAGCGAAGGGUCAAAGUGUUCUGUGCCUUUAGAGAAGUUCACCUACUGCCUGGGUGAAGGGAGUCUGUUCGGCAGCGGUGGUCACAGGAAGAAGUCCAAGCUGUGUGAAGCCACGUGGAGGAGAAUUGAGGACCACCACCCCCUCCCUGGCAGUAGUGAGAGGCAAGGCUCCAGACAUAUAGCCCAAGUUGAACCGUUUCAGCAGCCAUCCCUAGCUGGUCAAGCUGCCAAGUUGACACCAAAUGGAGCAGAGACAAGCGCUCCCCCUAGACUAUCCAAAUUGCAACGUCUUAAGCAAAUAAUAAAACGGUAAUGUUUCAAAUCACUACAUUUUGGGUAUGUUGUUUUGCGGCAAUAGGUAACAGAAGCAUGGAGCUUUCUAGUAUGUUUAAAAUAUACAGAAUGGGAGAAAGUCA